CGCACCUUGCACUCCUUGGUAUUCCGAGGAGUAUGCCUGUUCGAGUGUCAUGAAAUUAUCAAACUGCAUGCAUUUGCAGCUUGGAUCUGGAGACUGUCGGUCGCAAGAUUGACUUCUCUGAAAUGUAUUAGCUGGACGAUUGUAAGCUAACGUGUUAGUAGAUCUAUACACUGCGGCUGACGGUUCCGACGGCUGACAGAAAACCCCUUCAUUUCAUUCUUUGACCUCGAAUCAGGUAGGACUACCCGCUGAACUUAA
rnacentral:misc_RNA from 1 species